GGGGGGAGCAAGCGUUGUUCGGAUUUACUGGGCGUAAAGGGCGCGUAGGCGGCCAGCACAAGUCAGUUGUGAAAUCUCCGAGCUUAACUCGGAAAGGUCAACUGAUACUGUGCGGCUAGAGUGCGGAAGGGGCAACUGGAAUUCUUGGUGUAGCGGUGAAAUGCGUAGAUAUCAAGAGGAACACCUGCGGCGAAGGCGGGUUGCUGGGCCGACACUGACGCUGAGGCGCGAAAGCCAGGGGAGCGAACGGGAUUAGAUACCCCGGUAGUCCUGGCCUUAAACGAUGAAUGCUUGGUGUCUGGGGUUAUAUAGUCCCCGGGUGCCGUCGCUAACGCUUUAAGCAUUCCGCCUGGGGAGUACGGUCGCAAG
rnacentral:rRNA from 1 species